rnacentral:tRNA from 1 species
UCCCUUGUAGCUUAGUCAGUAAAGAAUCUGCCUGCAGUGCAGGAGACCCAGGUUUGAUCCCUGGGUUGGGAA